GACGGGGGGUGCAAGCGCUGUUCGGAAUUACUGGGCGUACAGGGCCCGUAGGCGGUCUGUUAAGUUCGGUGUGAAAGCCCCCGGCUCACCCGGGGAACGGCGCCGGAUACUGGCAGACUAGAGUACCGGAGAGGAGGGUGGAAUUCCUGGUGUAGCGGUGAAAUGCGUAGAUAUCAGGAGGAACACCGGUGGCGAAGGCGGCCCUCUGGACGGAUACUGACGCUGAGGCGCGAAAGCGUGGGGAUCAAACCGG
rnacentral:misc_RNA from 1 species